GGCUCAAUGGUCUAGUGGUAUGAUUCUCGCUUCGGGUGCGAGAGGUCAGGAGUUCGAUUCUCCUUUGAGCCC